GACGUAGGGCGCGAGCGUUGUCCGGAUUUAUUGGGCGUAAAGAGCUCGUAGGCGGCUUGUUGCGUCAGCUGUGAAAACCCGCAGCUCAACUGUGGGCUUGCAGCUGAUACGGGCUGGCGUUGAGUGCGGUGAGGGGAGACUGGAAUUCCUGGUGUAGCGGUGAAAUGCGCAGAUAUCAGGAGGAACACCGGUGGCGAAGGCGGGUCUCUGGGCCAUUACUGACGCUGGAGGAGCGAAAG
rnacentral:rRNA from 1 species